rnacentral:rRNA from 1 species
GACGAACGCUGGCGGCGUGCUUAACACGUGCAAGUCGAACGGAAAGGCCCUGCUUUUGUGGGGUGCUCGAGUGGCGAACGGGUGAGUAACACGUGAGUAACCUGCCCUUGACUUUGGGAUAACUUCAGGAAACUGGGGCUAAUACCGGAUAGGAGCUCCUGCUGCAUGGUGGGGGUUGGAAAGUUUCGGCGGUUGGGGAUGGACUCGCGGCUUAUCAGCUUGUUGGUGGGGUAGUGGCUUACCAAGGCUUUGACGGGUAGCCGGCCUGAGAGGGGGACCGGCCACAUGAGGACUGAGAUACGGCCCAGAGUGCAACGGGAGGCAGCAGUGGAGAAUAUUGCACAAUGGGCGGAAGCCUGUUGCAGCAAUGCCGCGUGCGGGAUGACGGCCUUCGGGUUGUAAACCGCUUUCGCCUGUGACGAAGCGGGAGUGACGGUAAUGGGUAAAGAAGCACCGGCUAACUACGUG